GCUCGUUAUGCGAAUUCCUUGUUAUGAGAGGUACUCGUUAAGCGAGGUUCCACUGUAUUCUCAGUUUUAAGCAUUACAAAUCAAAUUACUGCUGUUGAGAGUUUUCUGACAUGAGGAGCUAAAGACUAUGAAGUUGUAACAUUUUCAUUAAUAUAUCAGGUAAUAUCUGGUGACCCGGAAUAGACGGGGGAGGAAGUGUUUAUGGUCUACUUCAAGCAUUAUUCCAUCAUCUGGAGCCAGUGAAGAAAACCACAACUUAAAGGAAACUGAAGAAGAAACGAGUAUUACCUUAUAACACAGCGGCCACGAUUAGUUGCAAAAAUGACAAUUGGAGCGAUAGCACUCUCCAGAGCACGGUGAAGAACUGUAAACUUCAGAGCCAACCAUGGGACAAAAUGGAACCUAUCAAUGAAGCCAGCAAUUGAAAUUGAUCCUUGAGAAAUAUUCAUAAUCUGAAAACUGAACGUAAUGCAGCAACAGACUUAUGCACACACUGACAUUUAACUGAUACCAUUAUGCUCGUUUUUGUCAAUCAGAGUUCUUAAAAAAAGUUUUUAAGAGUAAGUGAUCCCUGGGCCCAAAGCACCAUCCUGUGAAGGUCUCUUCAUUCUUAAAUUUGGGAGUAGGCUGUCAGUUUAAAACUCAGCCACUUCGUAUCUAAAGAAAGAGGCCCUGUUACCCACUGAGUAGGAGGCCAGAUAGACUGCAGAGCUGGUGUGGAUAUAAAAAUUGUGAUGACAGAGACUGUUCCCCAUACAUUACAGAUAAGAGCAAAAAAAAAA